UACGUAGGGUGCAAGCGUUGUCCGGAAUUAUUGGGCGUAAAGAGCUCGUAGGUGGCCUGUCGCGUCGGCUGUGAAAACUCGGGGCUCAACUCCGAGCUUGCAGUCGAUACGGGCAGGCUAGAGUUCGGCAGGGGAGACUGGAAUUCCUGGUGUAGCGGUGAAAUGUGUUGAUAUCGGAAGGAACGCCGGUGGCGAAAGCGGAUCUCUGGGCCAUUACUGACGCUGAGGAGCGAAAGCGUGGGGAGCGAACAGG
rnacentral:rRNA from 1 species